rnacentral:rRNA from 1 species
AAAUUGAAGAGUUUGAUCAUGGCUCAGAUUGAACGCUGGCGGCAGGCCUAACACAUGCAAGUCGAACGGUAACAGGAAGCAGCUUGCUGCUUUGCUGACGAGUGGCGGACGGGUGAGUAAUGUCUGGGAAACUGCCUGAUGGAGGGGGAUAACUACUGGAAACGGUGGCUAAUACCGCAUAACGUCGCAAGACCAAAGAGGGGGACCUUCGGGCCUCUUGCCAUCAGAUGUGCCCAGAUGGGAUUAGCUUGUUGGUGAGGUAACGGCUCACCAAGGCGACGAUCCCUAGCUGGUCUGAGAGGAUGACCAGCCACACUGGAACUGAGACACGGUCCAGACUCCUACGGGAGGCAGCAGUGGGGAAUAUUGCACAAUGGGCGCAAGCCUGAUGCAGCCAUGCCGCGUGUAUGAAGAAGGCCUUCGGGUUGUAAAGUACUUUCAGCGGGGAGGAAGGUGUUGUGGUUAAUAACCGCAGCAAUUGACGUUACCCGCAGAAGAAGCACCGGCUAACUCCGUGCCAGCAGCCGCGGUAAUACGGAGGGUGCAAGCGUUAAUCGGAAUUACUGGGCGUAAAGCGCACGCAGGCGGUCUGUCAAGUCGGAUGUGAAAUCCCCGGGCUCAACCUGGGAACUGCAUUCGAAACUGGCAGGCUUGAGUCUUGUAGAGGGGGGUAGAAUUCCAGGUGUAGCGGUGAAAUGCGUAGAGAUCUGGAGGAAUACCGGUGGCGAAGGCGGCCCCCUGGACAAAGACUGACGCUCAGGUGCGAAAGCGUGGGGAGCAAACAGGAUUAGAUACCCUGGUAGUCCACGCCGUAAACGAUGUCUACUUGGAGGUUGUGCCCUUGAGGCGUGGCUUCCGGAGCUAACGCGUUAAGUAGACCGCCUGGGGAGUACGGCCGCAAGGUUAAAACUCAAAUGAAUUGACGGGGGCCCGCACAAGCGGUGGAGCAUGUGGUUUAAUUCGAUGCAACGCGAAGAACCUUACCUGGUCUUGACAUCCACGGAAGUUUUCAGAGAUGAGAAUGGUGCCUUCGGGAACCGUGAGACAGGUGCUGCAUGGCUGUCGUCAGCUCGUGUUGUGAAAUGUUGGGUUAAGUCCCGCAACGAGCGCAACCCUUAUCCUUUGUUGCCAGCGAUUAGGUCGGGAACUCAAAGGAGACUGCCAGUGAUAAACUGGAGGAAGGUGGGGAUGACGUCAAGUCAUCAUGGCCCUUACGACCAGGGCUACACACGUGCUACAAUGGCGCAUACAAAGAGAAGCGACCUCGCGAGAGCAAGCGGACCUCAUAAAGUGCGUCGUAGUCCGGAUUGGAGUCUGCAACUCGACUCCAUGAAGUCGGAAUCGCUAGUAAUCGUGGAUCAGAAUGCCACGGUGAAUACGUUCCCGGGCCUUGUACACACCGCCCGUCACACCAUGGGAGUGGGUUGCAAAAGAAGUAGGUAGCUUAACCUUCGGGAGGGCGCUUACCACUUUGUGAUUCAUGACUGGGGUGAAGUCGUAACAAGGUAACCGUAGGGGAACCUGCGGUUGGAUCACCUCCUUACCUU